CCCUUUCCAGCGGGAUGCAAUGGGUCUAUUUUGGGAUGUCAGCAUCCACUGGGGUUUCUCAUCCUCAUGCCAUACAGCACCAGUGUUGGGCUGCAUCUUGUAUCCAUCCUGUCAGCUUGUUUAAGCAGAAACAGCAUUUCUAAUGAGGCUGCUUUGGGAAUUAGCCUAAUGAAUAACAACUGAUGCCAACUGCAGUCACCAGAACACCCGCACCUUUAGCAAAGCCCCGUCCCCAUCCCUGGAAGGACCGGGAUGCUUUCUGCACACCCUGCCUUGCCUGACCUGUGCCACGUUUCCUACCCCUGGCAUGGAAGCAGAAAAACCUCCAACAGAGCUGAAGGCCUCUUAAAUCAACGUCUUUUCCAGCUCGGAAGCUCACAUUGAGAUGUCUCUGAAUUGAGCAGUGGGAGGAAACCCUUCAGAAAGAGAAAACAGAACGGAGGGAUUGAGGGAGAGAAAGAAAAAAGCUGUGAUCUAGCUGGGGAUUGCCAAGGAAUGCCCAUCGGGGGUGUUCCCUGUGGGAGGCUGGCAUAACCCUUAGACAGACUCUUUGCCUGACACCACAUGGAGAUUAUGGCAGGCAGGGAAGCAUCCCUGGUACUUCACGAGUACAAGCACAUGUGGCCAUAUCCUUCAGAGGCAGCAGAUCUGAAGCCACCUCGUGAGACUGGAAGGGAACGAUAUAGAAGAAAGAUGAGGGGAAAAAAAAUGCCAGUAAUCUUGUAAAAGUCAGUUUUGAAAAAUCAAUUUUCUUGUGUGACAAGAUUUGCUUAAGGCUUUUCGUUCUGUGAAAUCAGCCCAUCAUCCUGCGGGAACACAUGAAGGAAGUGGCAAGUGUGGUUUGGAAUAACUCAGAUUAAAGACUGCUAAAUUAGGCUUGAGGAGCUCCCCCCUCUCCUGCAAGGAUGCGGCCGGCACAGCCAGCGAUGCUUGCUUCCCAGUCGUCUCCCAGGGCCCAGUAGCCUGUCUCGAAGGAGAGGAGACCAACGGGCCUGGGAGAACACAGCUCUUGGGUCGUCCCGAACAAUGUGGAUGUUUAGAAGAAGUGUUCGCAGCUUGGCUUGCUGAAAAACAUAUGGGCUUAGCUAAUGCCCAGAGACCUGGGUGCGAAGCGUGCUGGAAAUGAGAUGCCUGGGACACUUCUUUGACCAGGAGGUCAGGGCACCAUCAGAAGUGACUGCCCAACCUUGAAGCCUUGUGAGGCUCUUUGGGUUUCCUGGACCAACCAGCCCAGGACCCACUGGCCUGAUCUUAUCCGUCGCUGUGCAGUGAAAGGCUACAGCCCUGCUCCUGCCACGCGCCAGUGAGGAGAGCCCUGCUCAGCCAGAGGAGCUUCUGCACGUGCCGCUGGGUGUCUCCUUUCAGCUGGAAUGGACCAAACAGUUUUUUGUUUCCCCCUCCUUGAUGUCACUCUCUCUCACUUCAGGAAAGCCAUCGUGUUUUUCUGUCCUCUUCAGUCCUGCUGGUGGUCCUGGCUGGGACGGCCACAGCCAUGGCACACCCCACAUCCCAAACCUCUCCACUCCAGCACAGCAAGCCCCCAGAUCACAUCAGCAAAACCCCUCUGCCAGCCCCCUCCAUCACUGAGGCUCCAUCCAACAGCAGUUUGUACUGGCUGCUUCAUCACUCAUUUAAUUUGGUUCCUUUAAUCACUGUACAUCAGGAAGUGAUGCUCAGAAGUACAAAGCACUUUCUUUCCUUCCCCCCCCCCCCUUUUAUUUUUUUCUUUCCAUCAGCUUCUCCCUCCUCUAUGCUCUCUCCUCAUUAGUCUGAGCUGCCUCUGAGCGUCUCCCACACACUUGUUCCCAUUACCCUGACAAGGCAGGGAAGGGGAAGACAAAUCUCCCUGUCCCCACACUGUGUGAGUGGAGGGAAGCUCUGCAAUUCCCAGUGUCACCUGGAGCCACUGCCACAGCAGAGUCCCUGCAGCAGCCCAGUGGAGAGAUUUGUGCCUUUUAUUUUACUUUAUUUUUUUAAAGCCUCUCUCUCCCUGUCAGAGGGAGCUGGCAGAUGGGGCUGACGCAUCAUGGAGGAGAUCUGAAGAAUUCAUUUCCCGUUACUUUUUUAUUUCCCCAGCUUUCAUUUUCACUUCAGAGCAAAGGUCCAGUUGUCUGGGAGGAAGCUACAAAGACAAACCCGGGCAGGAAAACAGAGAUAGCCAGGAAAAAUGUUACUGUGCCGAUAACUUGAGACCUCGGUGUGCUUUGCAUUCAUUUCAACUCCCACUUGAGCUGCAUUUUUCUAUGUCUAUAAAUUAGAUUUACUCUGUCACUGCUGUGAAAUGCCGGAGGGCCCCUUCCCCACGCCGUCUUCUCCUGCCUCCCUUGCCGUGUGUGGCUGCGGGAGGCAGCGGGAGAGGUGACAGCCCUGCUGAGGGAUAGCGUGUGGCUCGCAGCAUCCUGCGCGGGACCGCUGGCAGCCAUGCUCUUCGGAGGAAGAGGGAGCAGAUGGGAGCAUGGCAGCUGGGGGAAGGAAGGCUGCAAAAACGAGGGGCUCGGUGGGAUAAACCUGUGUGCUGGAGUGAACGAGCAGUUUCCCCAAGCUGGUUUGAAGGAAGAGAGUCCUAGUGUGCCACAAAAUGGCUGCAAAGCCAGAGUGGCCCAAAAGGGCAGCACGGGGAUGGUUUCUGCCCCAAUGGGUGCAGGGCAGCCAGCCUGUGGAGCUCACACCUUUCCUGCUGCCACCGGCUGCUCUGCAGUGUGUUUUAAGCCCUUGGCAGCCUCUUUCAAGUAUUAAUAGAGAUGUGACUGUGAUAUGAGCUUAAUAUGAGCUUAAUAUUGCAGAUCUCCUUUAACUGGGGGGGGGCAAGAACAGGUGCCAGUUAUGCAGUGGUCCCAGUGAUAAGAAGCCCUGGGGAAGGUGGAGUACGGGGGGGUGUUUAUGUUUGUGUUGGGCCCCUCAUGGAUGGGCAGCAGAAAGUGAUGAAAACACCAAGCACUCCAACUCCUAGGAGACAUUUUUCAAAGCCACCUGAAUCCACAUUAAAAUACAGUCAGGUCUUCCAGUGCUAAAACAGGGAGCACAGCCCCUGCUGUGGCUUGGCUGCAAGCAGCACCAGGCGUGCCCAUUAACUGGCUCGUUUGCCACUUUUCCAUCAGAAGUUGCCAAUGAAAUGCAUCAUCCUGAAUCUCUGCAUCAGUUUUCCAUGAUCCAGUAAUCCCUUCUGGACUUCACGGCCUAUGGAUCUGCAAACACAUUCUGCAGCAGCUAAAUAGAAGAGGAAGUGACAACUUUGUUGUGAUGGAGGGGCACCGAACUUAAAUCUGCCUUCACUUGGGCUUUCACCUGGGACCAGAGGUGUUGUGCACACCCAGAUGUCCAGCUGGCCAUGUGAAGGAUCACAUGGACGAAGGACGGACAAAGGAUUGAGAGCCAGCUGGAGCAAGAUCUGCUCCUGGUGCCUGGGGUGAUUUCUCCUUCUGUUGACUGAUCCUGGCAGCAGAAAACCAUUCCCAAGCCUUUUCCUUAGGGUCUUUCUUUUCCUUGAGACCCUAAUCCCUCAUCCCUUGAUAAGGCUCUCCCAGUCCUGAUGUGUGCCUGGCUUUGCUCCUCAGCCACCCAGUGUCACCCAGCAGCACGCGCCCUCAGGGACCGGCUCUCGGCUGUGCAGCCAAGCAAUGCCAAGCCAUGAGCGAGCUGGUUCAAGCAUCUCAGGAAAUCUCCAGGCUGGGAUGGUGCGAUCUCCAGCAGGACAGGGGCUCCCAUUCUUGGAGAACUUGACUGCUCCAUGGCAGCCUGGAGCACUUCAUGAAUAAUCCCGGUGAGCUGCUCCUUCCCAGCAGGACCCAGGACUGAGCAGAUGAGCCCCAAACUGACAAGAGCAGCAGUGACCUGUGGAGGCUGAGCUUGUGCUCCGGGGUUGUUAAAACAAAAUGUGGGAAUGCGGACGCAGUGUAAGACAGGCUGGCCAAAGCACAGCUUGUGUGUAUCUUUGUCUUCUCCUCUUCUUCUUAGAGCUCACCAAUAUCAGGUAUAAAUUUUCCGUUUCUACCCAAACUCCUGCAGGCCUGCCCCUUUUUCCUCCAAGACCAGCAGCCAAAAUGCUCACAGACCUGCAUGUAGGCACAAUGCAUGACACUCAGCCCCCCAAGCUGUAACACAGCAGACCUCAGAGAUGCCUCCUUCCAGGCAGCCAGCUCCCUGCACACCUCUCCAGCAGAAGGCAGCAGGGACUGGACUGC